AAUGAACGCUGGCGGCAGGCUUAACACAUGCAAGUCGAACGGGUGUAGCAAUACAUCAGUGGCAGACGGGUGAGUAACACGUGGGAACCUUCCUAGGGGUACGGAACAACUCAGGGAAACUUGGGCUAAUACCGUAUACGUCCGUGAGGAGAAAGAUUUAUCGCCCUUAGACGGGCCCGCGUCGGAUUAGGUAGUUGGUGGGGUAACGGCCUACCAAGCCUACGAUCCGUAGCUGAUCUGAGAGGAUGAUCAGCCACACUGGGACUGAGACACGGCCCAGACUCUUACGGGAGGCAGCAGUGGGGAAUCUUGGACAAUGGGCGAAAGCCUGAUCCAGCCAUGCCGCGUGAGUGAAGAAGGCCUUAGGGUUGUAAAGCUCUUUUGCCAGGGACGAUAAUGACGGCACCUGGAGAAUAAGCCCCGGCAAACUUCGUGCCAGCAGCCGCCGUAACAC
rnacentral:rRNA from 1 species